rnacentral:lncRNA from 10 species
CCAAACUUGGUGGUGUAAAAUACCACCAAUCAUUUUAUUAUUAACUCCCACAAGUUUGGGAAGUUGCCUGAGCUCACUUAGGCGGUAUUCACUCAGAGUGUCUCACACACUUGCUGUCAGACAAUGGUUGACACUCAAAUAUUCUGAAUGCUUGAUGCUCACGUGGCUGGCAUGUGGGCUGGGACCACUCAAACAGCUGGAAUUUGGAACUUCUAGGGACCCUAGGAAUGCUUCUUUGUCUCUGUGUGGUCUCUUCAGCAUAGCAACAGCAGCGUAGCUGAACAUCUUACGGAUGGCCCAGGGCUCCAAAGGCUCGUUUCCUAAGUGAGAGAGAGCCUGGCUGAAGCUGUAUUACCAUUCAUUCUCCAGCCUCCGAAGUCUCAAAGCAUCACUUCCACCAUACUCUAACUGUCAAGACAAACACAAAGGCCCAGAAACUGCCAGACUGUCUUCUGAAGUGGCUAUAAUAUUUACACUCCCAUCAGCAGUGUAGAAGGGGUCUCACUAUGUUGUCUGGAGUGCUGUGGUGGAGUGGAGUGGCUAUUCACAGCUGAGUUUGCAGAGUAAACCACUACCCUGAAAUCUGGAAAGGCAGGUGCACCCACAGAUCCUCAGCUGAGAUCCAAUUACCUGAAAUAGAAGCUGCCAUUAGGAACACUUAAAAGAGCCUGUUCUGCUGGGACACAGAAUCACUUGCUCCAUCUCAUACAUUGAUGAUGAUUAAUUUGUAUGUGUACCUUCCAAAAAAGAUGGUUGUGUUUGAAUGGAGGCCUUCUGGACAGGAAAAUUGCAAAGUACAAUUAACAUUUGAGUCUGUCUGAGUCAUGAAGAAAUGGAGAUUACUGAAAAUAAUUCAUUUUGGUAUCUUCUUACAUCCUGAGAGACUAAUCUUUCCAAGUUCAUCUGAGGCUCCUCUUCUCCAUGACAACCUCAUCCAGGGAUUUCUUCCUGUCCUGGUGUUUUAUGACAUGUGGAAGGGGACUGUAGCAGGUGAUCUCCAAAGUCUCUGGAGACUUACUAAUGUGCAUCCUCAUCUCGCUUGUAAGGAUAAUAGCCUUCCUCCAAACCUCACACACUUUUGGAGGAGAUCACUUUUUUUAAAGUGCAUGGAAAUGUUUUGAAACAGUGAAAUCUAUAAUGAUAGGUUUCAUAAUUCUAACAUCCACACCAUAUGAAUCACAUCCUUCCUGAGAUAAUGAGCACACAAUUGCCUGGAUACCUGAAGGAAUGGAGACAGCGGCAGAAAACACUGCAGAGAGGUGGAAACAUCCGUUAAUAUUUUAAAAUCCCAUUACUGCUACCAACAAUAAUAAUGGAUGCAUAGAAAUAGAUCUGGAUUAGCUGAGCUUGAAACAGUCCAUCUCACACACACACAAAAGAAUUUCAGAUACAGUGAACCCACAUGUUGAAGCUUUCUAGUAUAAUAAAAAUUUCAACUGUUCUGUUGAAUCAUCUGCCUGAUUGGAGGCUACAGAAAAGAUGUCAUCUUAGGAGUGCUUGCUCUGAGUGAGGCUCAUCUUCAAAUCUGAAUGACCACAAGGAGAUUUGAUUAUACAUGUGAACACCUCAGAAGGCACAGCCCACCCAGAAGGCAGACAGGUCAGGCUGCUUUUUCUUCAUUGCUUGGAUUCAAUCCUCCGGGCGGCUCAGGCUCAAACAUAACUUAAGCAUGAUUAAACUUUAGAAGAAGCUGCCAGGAAGACUGUGAAAUCUUCAUGCCCAAGGAUCCCUAAAAUUAGGAGCAACAACCACUUGGCUCAGACGGUUUAUGGAGGCAAAGGUUUGGAUGGGAUUAGAGAUUUCUAAAUGUGAGUUCGUGUCCUCUGCCAGACCACCUUACUUCCACCAUUCCUCAGCAAAUCAAGAAAAAC